rnacentral:tRNA from 1 species
GCCGAAGUGGCGGAANGGUAGACGCGCUACGUUCAGGACGUAGUAUCCUNUAGGAUGUGGGGGUUCAAAUCCCUUCUUCGGCACCA